rnacentral:rRNA from 1 species
AUACGGAGGAUCCGAGCGUUAUCCGGAUUUAUUGGGUUUAAAGGGUGCGCAGGCGGCCAUUUAAGUCAGCGGUUAAAUCGUGGGGCUCAACCCCAUUCUGCCGUUGAUACUGGGUGGCUUGAUUGCGGUCGAGGUUGGCGGAAUUCGUUGUGUAGCGGUGAAAUGCAUAGAUAUGACGAAGAACACCGAUUGCGUAGGCAGCUGACCAGAUCGCAAAUGACGCUCAUGCACGAAAGUGCGGGGAUCGAACAGGAUUAGAUACCCUGGUAGUCCGCACAGUAAACGAUGAAUACUUGGUUUCGGCGAUAUAAUGUCGGAGGCAAAGCGAAAGCGAUAAGUAUUCCACCUGGGGAGUACGCCGGCAACGGUGAAACUCAAAUGAAUUGACGGGG